rnacentral:rRNA from 1 species
UACAGAGGGUGCGAGCGUUAAUCGGAAUUACUGGGCGUAAAGCGUGCGUAGACGGUUUCGUAAGUCGGGUGUGAAAUCCCCGGGCUCAACCUGGGAAUUGCAUUCGAAACUGCGAGGCUAGGGUACGGAAGAGGGAAGCGGAAUUUCUGGUGUAGCGGUGAAAUGCGUAGAUAUCUGGAGGAACACCCGUGGCGAAGGCGGCUCUCUGGUCCGAAACUGACGCUGAGGUGCGAAAGCUAGGGUAGCAAACAGG